UGGGGAAUAUUGGACAAUGGGCGCAAGCCUGAUCCAGCAACGCCGCGUGGAGGACGAAGGCCUUCGGGUCGUAAACUCCUGUCAGUUGGGACGAAAAGCUGUCGUCGAAUAGAUGGCAGUCAUGACGGUACCA
rnacentral:rRNA from 1 species